ensembl:rRNA 5S_rRNA 5S ribosomal RNA
GUCUGUGGCCAUACCAUCCAGAAGGUGCCCGAUCUCAUCUGACCUCGGACGCUAAGCAGGGUCGGGCCGGGCUAGUACUUGGAUGGGAGGGAAGUGUUGUGAUCUCCUUGGGAGGCAAGUGGUCAUGGACA